GACGAACGCUGGCGGCGUGCUUAACACAUGCAAGUCGAACGGAAAGGCCCUGCUUUUGUGGGGUGCUCGAGUGGCGAACGGGUGAGUAACACGUGAGUAACCUGCCCUUGGCUUUGGGAUAACUUCAGGAAACUGGGGCUAAUACCGGAUAGGAGCUCCUGCUGCAUGGUGGGGGUUGGAAAGUUUCGGCGGUUGGGGAUGGACUCGCGGCUUAUCAGCUUGUUGGUGGGGUAGUGGCUUACCAAGGCUUUGACGGGUAGCCGGCCUGAGAGGGCGACCGGCCACAUUGGGACUGAGAUACGGCCCAGACUCCUACGGGAGGCAGCAGUGGGGAAUAUUGCACAAUGGGCGGAAGCCUGAUGCAGCAACGCCGCGUGCGGGAUGACGGCCUUCGGGUUGUAAACCGCUUUCGCCUGUGACGAAGCGUGAGUGACGGUAAUGGGUAAAGAAGCACCGGCUAACUACGUG
rnacentral:rRNA from 1 species